rnacentral:rRNA from 1 species
UACGAAGGGGGCAAGCGUUGUUCGGAAUCACUGGGCGUAAAGAGUUCGUAGGCGGUUCAAUUAGUCAGAGGUGAAAGACCCCAGGGCGUCAACCUUGGAAAUGCCUUUGAUACUGUUGGACUAGAAUCCGUGAGAGGGUGGUGGAAUUUCCAGUGUAGAGGUGAAAUUCGUAGAUAUUGGAAGGAACACCAGUGGCGAAGGCGGCCACCUGGCGCGGUAUUGACGCUGAGGAACGAAAGCGUGGGGAGCAAACAGGAUUAGAUACCCCGGUAGU